rnacentral:rRNA from 1 species
GAUGAACGCUGGCGGCGUGCUUAACACAUGCAAGUCGAGCGAAGCAGUUAAGAAGAUUCUUCGGAUGAUCCUUAACUGACUGAGCGGCGGACGGGUGAGUAACGCGUGGGUGACCUGCCCCAUACCGGGGGAUAACAGCUGGAAACGGCUGCUAAUACCGCAUAAGCGCACAGAGCUGCAUGGCUCGGUGUGAAAAACUCCGGUGGUAUGGGAUGGGCCCGCGUCUGAUUAGGCAGUUGGCGGGGUAACGGCCCACCAAACCGACGAUCAGUAGCCGGCCUGAGAGGGCGACCGGCCACAUUGGGACUGAGACACGGCCCAAACUCCUACGGGAGGCCGCAGUGGGGAAUAUUGCACAAUGGGGGAAACCCUGAUGCAGCGACGCCGCGUGAGCGAAGAAGUAUUUCGGUAUGUAAAGCUCUAUCAGCAGGGAAGAUAAUGACGGUACCUGACUAAGAAGCCCCGGCUAACUACGUGCCAGCAGCCGCGGUAAUACGUAGGGGGCAAGCGUUAUCCGGAUUUACUGGGUGUAAAGGGAGCGUAGACGGCAAGGCAAGUCUGAUGUGAAAACCCAGGGCUUAACCCUGGGACUGCAUUGGAAACUGUCUGGCUCGAGUGCCGGAGAGGUAAGCGGAAUUCCUAGUGUAGCGGUGAAAUGCGUAGAUAUUAGGAAGAACACCAGUGGCGAAGGCGGCUUACUGGACGGUAACUGACGUUGAGGCUCGAAAGCGUGGGGAGCAA